UACGUAGGGGGCAAGCGUUGUCCGGAAUCAUUGGGCGUAAAGAGCGUGUAGGCGGCCAGAUAAGUCCGCUGUGAAAUCUCGAGGCUCAACUUCGAGCUGUCGGUGGAAACUGUCUGGCUAGAGUCCGGAAGAGGAGAAUGGAAUUCCCGGUGUAGCGGUGAAAUGCGCAGAUAUCGGGAGGAACACCAAUGGCGAAGGCAGCUCGCUGGGACGGUACUGACGCUGAGACGCGAAAGCGUGGGGAGCAAACAGG
rnacentral:rRNA from 1 species